rnacentral:rRNA from 1 species
UGCGUCACAUUAGUUAGUUGGUGGGGUAAAGGCCUACCAAGACUAUGAUGUGUAGCCGGGCUGAGAGGUUGAACGGCCACAUUGGGACUGAGACACGGCCCAAACUCCUACGGGAGGCAGCAGUAGGGAAUUUUCGGCAAUGGAGGAAACUCUGACCGAGCAACGCCGCGUGAACGAUGAAGUAUUUCGGUACGUAAAGUUCUUUUAUUAGGGAAGAAUAAAUGAUGGAAAAAUCAUUCUGACGGUACCUAAUGAAUAAGCCCCGGCUAACUAUGUGCCAGCAGCCGCGGUAAUACAUAGGGGGCAAGCGUUAUCCGGAAUUAUUGGGCGUAAAGGGUGCGUAGGCGGUUAAAUAAGUUUAUGGUCUAAGUGCAAUGCUCAACAUUGUGAUGCUAUAAAAACUGUUUAGCUAGAGUAAGAUAGAGGCAAGUGGAAUUCCAUGUGUAGUGGUAAAAUGCGUAAAUAUAUGGAGGAACACCAGUAGCGAAGGCGGCUUGCUGGGUCUUUACUGACGCUGAGGCACGAAAGCGUGGGGAGCAAACAGGAUUAGAUACCCUGGUAGUCCACGCCGUAAACGAUGAGUACUAAACGUUGGGUAAAACCAGUGUUGAAGUUAACACAUUAAGUACUCCGCCUGAGUAGUACGUACGCAAGUAUGAAACUUAAAGGAAUUGACGGGACUCCGCACAAGCGGUGGAUCAUGUUGUUUAAUUCGAAGGUACCCGAAAAACCUCACCAGGUCUUGACAUGCUUCUGCAAAGCUGUAGAAACACAGUGGAGGUUAUCAGUUGCACAGGUGGUGCAUGGUUGUCGUCAGCUCGUGUCGUGAGAUGUUGGGUUAAGUCCCGCAACGAGCGCAACCCUUAUUGUUAGUUACCAGCACGUAAUGGUGGGGACUUUAGCAAGACUGCCAGUGAUGAAUUGGAGGAAGGUGGGGACGACGUCAAAUCAUCAUGCCCCUUAUGACCUGGGCUACAAACGUGAUACAAUGGCUGUUACAAAGGGUAGCUGAAGCGCAAGUUUUUGGCGAAUCUCAAAAAAACAGUCUCAGUUCGGA